UUUGACAUUUUUACCUUUUAUGUCUGUUUAUUUUGUUCACACAUUGUUGUCAAUAUAAUGGAAUUUUAUGCGACUGUCAUACAAAUGAGAGGUUUAGCUGGAUGUAAAACCAGGUUUAAUCCAUCAUUUUCGACAUAAGGAAAUGCCUGUUCCAAGUCAGGAAUAUGACAGUUGUUUUCCAUUCGUUUGAUGUGUUUGAGCUUUUGAUUUUGCCAUUUGAUGAGGGACUUUCCGUUUUGAAUUUUCCUUGGAGUUCGGUAUUUUUGUUAUUUUACUUUUCACGUGAUUGCAUUGCUUUUAAAAGUUUUCAUCUUCCAUAAGAAAUGAAUAUGGUGUUAUUGUUCAAACAUGUAUCGCCAAUCAUCUUUCAGUUCUAUCAUAGCACUAAAAACGUUUUACAUAUCAAUGAUUGCUUCAGACAUCUAUAUUAAUCAGUCGGUACAUGUGUGCUGUUAAAUCCUUUUCAUUAUGCAUUCUUCUAUACACUCUUAACCUCGUUAACUUGAGUUCAUGUACAAAAAUCAAUGUUCAACCGAACUUUCAAACGUUCCAAAUAUAUUUCAUUGUAUCUGCAAACAGAUGGCAUUAUUCUAUUCAUUUUGAAAUAACAGAAUCCUUUAGGAAUUAAUUAAGCUCACAUAAUACUGUUCAUGCUUGAGACAUGACCGAAAUGUCUUAAGACGUUAAAGUUUUUAUAUUGAUUUUUUGCGCAUGGUUGAUUUCAAAAUAAUCAUGAACUAUGUAAAUUUCUUGCGACAUACAAUAACAAUACAAUAAAUGUCUUCCGAUGUUCAGUUGAAUUGAUUGUAAAGAUAGUUAGUUACCUGAGGAUAUCAUAUAGGAAGUAAAUUGGUGGUCAUUGAUUUCAUGAAUAGAUUACACUGGUUUUUCAAUGAGUUUGAAAAAGAUUAAGCCAUAGUGUGUCAUCAACAGAGUCGAAGGUAUACGAGGAUACUAAUAUGAGCCAAGAACUGUUUUUGGUAAGACUGUCCUUGUACGAUGAAUCGAUGUUUAAAGAAAUGCCAUACAAAGAUAUUAAGAUGGAAAAUUGUCGCAGCCUAGUCCAUAUGGAACAAAGCUUCCAGAAAUAUACCAGAGUGUUUAAGAAGUAAUGUGGCUUUGAACAAAACGAUAUAGCAACUUUGGGCACAUGUUGUUGCUUAUAGAACAAGAUGAUAUGUGUUAAGUGUUAUAGUCAGAAACGAGAAUUUAGCUUUACAUCAAAAUGCUAAGAAAUACAAAAAGAUGCGUCCAAAAGUGUCUCAAGAAGAUAAUCAUAGUUGUAAACACUUAUACAUUUAUAAGGUUGUUGUUAAAAGAAAGGAUGUUUUGAGUGCUGUACAGUACCCGUCUUUGUAAUCAAUUAUGUUUAGCAAAAUAAUUAUACACAUAAAAUUGAGAAUGGAAAUGGGGAAUGUGUCAAAGAGACAACAACCCGACCAUAGAACAGACAACAGCAGAAGGUCACCAACAGGUCUUCAAUGUAGCGAGAAAUUCCCGCACCCGGAGGCGUCCUUCAGCUGGCCCCUAAACAAAUAUAUAUACUAGUUCAGUGAUAAUGAACGCCAUACUAAACUCCAAAUUGUACACAAGAAACUAAAAUUAAAAAUAAUACAAGACUAACAAAGGCUAGAGGCUCCUGACUUGAGACAGGCGCAAAAAUGCGGCGGGGUUAAACAUGUUUAUGAGAUCUCAACCCUCCCCCUAUACCUCUAGCCAAUGUAGAAAAGUAAACGCAUAACAAUACGCACAUUAAAAUUCAGUUCAAGAGAAGUCCGAGUCUGAUGUCAGAAGAUGUAACCAAAGAAAAUAAACAAAAUGACAAUAAUACAUAAAUAACAACAGACUACUAGCAGUUAACUGACAUGCCAGCUCCAGACUUCAAUUAAACUGAUUGAAAGAUUAUGUCUUCAUCAUAUGAAUAUCAGGCACAAUCCUUCCCGUUAGGGGUUUAGUAUCAUACCAUCAUAACAUAUAUGAGAAGAACAUAACAUAGCAUACCUUAAGAAUAAAUAACUUUAUUAGGUUUUAAGGCACCGAUUCACCUUUUCCGUGUGAUAGAUAUUGCCAUCCAAAUGUGCUGUUAUUGUAGUUGAUUCUCCUUUUAUUUUCAUUUUUCUUUUUAUCAACACGAUCUGACAAGGUUCGAAAAUAUUGACACGAUACAUCAACUGGGCUCGGGUAUAUUUUAUACACUAUAUUGACAUUAAUCCAGCCAAAGCAUGAUAUACAUUAACAUGUCUUUUCGAAUUAUCUGUGGUUUCGAAAGUACAAUCAGUCAGCUAUCACAUGUGAUUUUUAAUUUAAUUUUUAUUUCCUUUUAAAUUUUAUCGACAACCUAGUAUUUCAAUAAAAAAAAAAGUCGAUACCAGAUGAUGUUACAUGUCAUUUUCAAAACAUAUGUGUUGUAUUUACUGGUGUACAUGUACGUGUUUAUUGAACUGAUAUAUAAUUACUUAAUGCGAUAAAAAAUAAUCACUAUCUAACAACAAAUCUCAAUCACCAUAUAAAGAAGCGGGACGUUAUUCAGAUGAAACAAUUAGUAAUCGGGAUAGAUUUUAUUAAUUAAGUACUACUUAGAAAAAACUGAGGUAUGAGCGUUCCGGAUAAACGUCAAUCCAGAGAAGUGCAUCGGUCGCAUUACAAUUAUAACGUGUUAUUGUCCUAGACUUACAGCCCUUGGAUGGUGUAAACUUCCCAAAAUAACGUGUAUGGUGUAAUGGUGUAUGGCAUAUGGUGCAAUGGUAGAAGGUGUAUGGUGCUAUGGUGUAUGGUGUAAGGGGAAUGGUGUAAUGGUGUAUGAGGAAUGGUGUGAUUGUGUAACGUGCGAUUGGGAAUGGUGUGAAUGAAUAGUGUACGACAUUUCAUUGGUUGAAACCGAAGUUCAUUUUAUUUUAAUUUUUCGGAUUGUAAACAUAAACAAUAAUAAUAAUCCUAUUGUUCUUUUUUCCCAGUAAAGCAAAUUACUUUACUCGUUAGACUCUAUGUCAUAUAUAUUUAAUAUACACAUAUUAAAAAAUCUUUUUUUUUCAUAUUCUUAUUUACAUUAAACAAUGGCUUUAAAAUUACACACUUGUGAUCACAUGCAGUUAUCAUAAAAGAAAGGAUUUUAUUUAAACUAGAAGGCGGAUAGAAAGGUUAUCCACGCAUCGGAACAGUAUUUUUAUAUCACGGGUUAUCAACAUCAUUUUUAAAGUUGCUUCGUUCCCCACUUUUGACAGUCUCUUUAUAAAUAUCUUAUCGUCAUUCACCUAUGUUUGCCUUGGAUUUACGAUUCUGUUUUCCAAAAAAUGUUCAAAGGAAAAUUGUACAGUGUUAUUGCACAUAAGGUGUUGUAUAAUUAUGAACAAUCUCGUCAAUUUCGUUAGAUUUGUCUUUACGGAUUAUAAAUGAUAUCUUGAACGUCCGAAAAAAUAUACUUAUGUGAAACGGAAUGAAAUAUUUGCCACUUGAUAUUUAGCCACCAACAAAAUCAACCAACCGACAUAAUAUACUAACAGUAUACUUUUCCUAGAAGAGAACUUCUCAUACUUUUCAUUAUAAAGUACAAAUGAAAUCUGUCAUGUCAGUCACACUGUUGGAUGAUGAGGUGGAAUAGUUUUAUUAUACAAACCAUCCUGAACUACUGAGUUUAAAUCAUCACACCUCAGCAAGCACGACUAAUUUAUGCGCAGACCAACCCAUCACACAAUAGCCCAAAAGGAAUCUGUGAUGUACCCGUCCAUAUUCAGAAGUCAUGGAAGUGGGAAAUACAGAUACUGAUACUGACUUUAGUGGCAGUUUUAUAUAACGAAUACAGAGAUGAAAUGCUGGCACUCUAAAUUAAAGCGGACAAGAUUUUGUUAUCAUUGUAUUGCAAUGUUGCUGUCAUUUGUAUUAUACAAUCCAUCCUGACAUCAAAAUAUUGCUGAUUUACUAUGCGGCUGCCGCUAUAUAGAUUUACAUAAUAAAGUGCAAAUAUGGUCA